UUGGGAAAGCGAGCGGCGGAUGGGUGAGUAACACGUGGGGAACCUGCCCCUAAGUCUGGGAUACCAUUUGGAAACAGGUGCUAAUACCGGAUAAUAAAGCAGAUCGCAUGAUCAGCUUUUGAAAGGCGGCGUAAGCUGUCGCUAAGGGAUGGCCCCGCGGUGCAUUAGCUAGUUGGUAAGGUAACGGCUUACCAAGGCGACGAUGCAUAGCCGAGUUGAGAGACUGAUCGGCCACAUUGGGACUGAGACACGGCCCAAACUCCUACGGGAGGCAGCAGUAGGGAAUCUUCCACAAUGGACGCAAGUCUGAUGGAGCAACGCCGCGUGAGUGAAGAAGGUUUUCGGAUCGUAAAGCUCUGUUGUUGGUGAAGAAGGAUAGAGGUAGUAACUGGCCUUUAUUUGACGGUAAUCAACCAGAAAGUCACGGCUAACUACGUGCCAGCAGCCGCGGUAAUACGUAGGUGGCAAGCGUUGUCCGGAUUUAUUGGGCGUAAAGCGAGCGCAGGCGGAAAAAUAAGUCUAAUGUGAAAGCCCUCGGCUUAACCGAGGAACUGCAUCGGAAACUGUUUUUCUUGAGUGCAGAAGAGGAGAGUGGAACUCCAUGUGUAGCGGUGGAAUGCGUAGAUAUAUGGAAGAACACCAGUGGCGAAGGCGGCUCUCUGGUCUGCAACUGACGCUGAGGCUCGAAAGCAUGGGUAGCGAACAGGAUUAGAUACCCUGGUAGUCCAUGCCGUAAACGAUGAGUGCUAAGUGUUGGGAGGUUUCCGCCUCUCAGUGCUGCAGCUAACGCAUUAAGCACUCC
rnacentral:rRNA from 1 species